ACGGGGAGGAGCCCAGAGCCUGAAUCAGUGUGUGUGUUAGUGGAAGCGUCUGGAAAGGCGCGCGAUACAGGGUGACAGCCCCGUACACAAAAAUGCACAUGCUGUGAGCUCGAUGAGUAGGGCGGGACACGUGGUAUCCUGUCUGAAUAUGGGGGGACCAUCCUCCAAGGCUAAAUACUCCUGACUGACCGAUAGUGAACCAGUACCGUGAGGGAAAGGCGAAAAGAACCCCGGCGAGGGGAGUGAAAAAGAACCUGAAACCGUGUACGUACAAGCAGUGGGAGCACAGAGCAAUCU
rnacentral:rRNA from 1 species